GUCCCAAGAGGACAAUCUUUGAUCCAGAAGCGUGGCUCAGAAAGUCAAUUAGUGUUUCAGGAGGAUUAGUUUUAUAUUUCAUGGGAAAAAUAACCAGAUGUCUGUGAAAAUUUGUUAAAGCUAUUAAAACCUGUAUGAAUGGACACAUAUAAAAAUAAUAUUAGAAUAAGUUACUUAUACAUGAAAUAGAAGUAAUAUAUGAUAUAGCAUCGUUUUUAAAGGCAGUGCUUUAAUGCCUUUCUAGUUGCCGGGUUAAUCCUUCCUUCCGCGAUAUCCAACUUAUCUACGUGGGGGGUCAUUAGACUCCAAGUAGAUCCGGAAAUGUUGAAUUCUCUCCUCUUCUUAUUGCGAUAUAAAAUGUUUUUUGUUUCAUUUCAUUUACAUUGGGAAAUAGAGAAACGAUCAUUGUGUUUUGUUAGUUUUAAAAACUUUUGAUAUAUUAGUAUUUUGCAUUAUAAGCAGUCAACCGAUUGACAAACUAGAAUUAUUUGAAUUCCGUGUGGAAAGAGCUCGGGUUAAUUUCGAGUGUUAUCUGCAAUCUAGAUGUUUAUAAAUCAUUUCAGUCGUUGAUAUAAUAAUUAAAGGUCGACUGAACAUGAAUUAUAUUAUACAAUUUAAAGCGCAUUUCUGUUUAUGCACGUGAACCCGUUAUUUUCGCAGUUAUAUAAAGUAGCAAAUUAUCGUUCCUGAAUAGGUGGCGCCGUGGUAGCGGAUCCUGUUCCUCUACUUCCGGUUUCUGCACUGUGCAACUAUUUCAGUUAUAUUUUUAAUUAACGAUGCCAAGUACUUGUUGUUGUGUACCUGGAUGUAAUUUAAGAGGAGGACAUGCAUUUCCAAAUGACUUAAAAAGAAGGAAAAGUUGGAUCAACGUCAUGGCCCAUACGCAGAUUGGACGAGAACACGAUGAUAUCGUGGAGUCCAUCUCAAUCAGCUGUUGUUUGCAAGGCACGUUUUACUGAAAAAGACUACGUGCAGGAAACUAUUCAUGGGCGCAAACCCACCAUACAGAGACUUAAGUCUACUGCAAUUCCCAGCCUUUUUUCCUGGACCAAGCAAGAGACUGAAUCGUCCGCAAAAAGAAAAAUCAGGGCAGUUUCCUGUGAAAACAAAAGAACUAAACUUGAUGAAUAUUGUAGUAGAAAUCUAGAGGAAAGUUUUGAUUGUAAAGUUGGUUUUCCUGAAGAAGUCAUUCAUACUGCAGAAAGGAUUUAUGACUGUCCACCACCAACUGCCGAGCUAAUGUUGAGCUUCACAGAUGGAAUUACGCAAACACCAUCAAUGCCUAUGUUUUCAGUAGAGAAUUUUGAAAUGAAGACACGUGACACAGCCAUGCAUUUUUAUACCGGUUUAGAGUUGUAUACUAAAUUUUUAUUUGUUUUGACCACACUUGGUCCAGCAGCACAUUGUUUGAGAUACAUAUAUUUUCAAAUUGAUAGGGUGUCAGUUGAAAAUCAGUUUUUUUAUGACUUUGAUGAAAUUGAGGCAUCAUACAACCAACUUUGAACUGUCUAGAUUCUAGAUUGAAUCUAGUGUUAAGAAUAUUGUGUAUACAUGGAUUGUUUUUAUGUCUAAACAGUGGUGUGAGGCUAACACUUGGCCAUCUAGUGGUUUAGUCAGGUAUUUUUCACCAUCCAACUUCAAAUUAAAGUUUCCUACAACUUGGAUUAUUAUUGACAGCACAGAAUAUCCCGUGAUAAAACCUAAAGCUCCUAGAGCUCAGGCAACCUUUUCAUCAAAUAAAAACAGAAACACUGAAAAUUCUUGAAUGUUCGACACCUGGUGGUUUAGUCAACUAUGUCUCUAUGUCACAUAGAGCGAAUUAUUGGACUUGGCAAAACAUACAAAAUUCUAAUAAAUCCUAUGAAUGGAACUGAAACAAAACUUUCAUCUGAAAUAACAUUUAGUUGUUUUAUGUUGUGUAAUUUUAGAACUUGUAUUGUGCCAAAGGAUGCAUAAAUAAAAGUGACGCAAUGAA